UACGUAGGCAGCAAGCGUUGUUCGGAGUUACUGGGCGUAAAGGGUGUGUAGGCGGUUGUUUAAGUUUGGUGUGAAAUCUCCCGGCUCAACUGGGAGGGUGCGCCGAAUACUGAAUGACUUCGAGUGCGGGAGAGGAGAGUGAAUUCCUGGUGUAGCGGUGAAAUGCGUAGAUAUCAGGAGGAACACCGGUGGUGUAGACGGCUCUCUGGACCGUAACUGACGCUGAGACACGAAAGCGUGGGUAGCAAACAGG
rnacentral:rRNA from 1 species